GGACUACCAGGGUAUCUAAUCCCGUUUGCUCCCCACGCUUUCGCGCAUCAGCGUCAGUACCGGUCCAGUGAGCCGCCUUCGCCACUGGUGUUCCUCCCAAUAUCUACGCAUUUCACCGCUACACUGGGAAUUCCACUCACCUCUCCCGGUCUCAAGCCAAACAGUCUGGAUGGCAGUUCCUCGGUUAAGCCGAGGGAUUUCACCAUCCACUUGUCAGGCCGCCUACGCGCCCUUUACGCCCAAUAAUUCCGAAUAACGCUUGCCCCCUCUGUAUUACCGCGGCUGCUGGCAC
rnacentral:rRNA from 1 species